GAUUUGUUUUAAAUAACAGCGUGACGGCUCUUCGUGGAGGUAGGGGCUCUAGAUGGAGAGACAUCGAGUUCUACCCUUUACCUCGAGAGAGAAUUGGGAUUCAAAGGUCUGCUCAUAGAGCCAAAUCCAGUCAACUACAAGAAACUGUUGAGCAAAAACAGGAAGGCCACCUGUCUUCAGGCGGCUCUCUCCCCUACAACAUCGUCCGCAGAGCUUCUUUUCACAGGUUCAGGGCAGCAAGGUCACCUGGCCAAGGAAGAAACCAGCCAGACGAUUCGUGUCAAAUCCUUUCCCUUUUACGCCAUCCUUUCUGCCCUCCACGUCUCCUUCAUCGACGUCUUCAAUCUGGAUAUUGAAGGAUUCGAAUUCAAGGUUCUGAAAACUAUUCCCUUCGACAAGAUCAAGGUAGGAAUCUUGAUCGUCGAACACCUGAAUAUUCCUGAACCCAAAGCUGAAUUGGUGAAAUUCAUGACCAACUUGGGCUACAAGAAAAUCCACCAAAACAAAUUUGAUUAUAUUUUCGCAUAUCCAGAUUACUUGAAUAAACUACCAGGAUGGAAGCCAGCGUAACAUUUAGAGAAUGUAAUGAAUUGUAGAGUCAUGUGGUAUUUAUUACCUUUUAGGUUAAGAAUUCUACACUUGAAUGUGUAUACUGCAGUAGAACCAUUCUUAAGCUUUGUUAUGGGAGUAAAGUGUUUAAAUAUUCUUUACUCUAAUAAUGUUUUAUAUUAAGGUUACAAUGAAAUUUCAGAAAAUGCAUUCUGGAACUACCAUUCACUUGAAAGGAACUGUGCCAUACAGUUUAAUGCUAAAUUCUAUAGUUACCUCUUUUUUUUUUUUUUUUUUUUUUUUUACACAUUAUCUUUACAACUCCAUUUUCUUUGGAAACUUCUGAGGAGUUUCUAUACCUAACAUUCUCAUCAUCAGCAGUGGAAUGAAUAAAAAUACUUGACAGGGCAUAUUCAUACCAUCACUGAAGGGUAGAGGGAAAACUGUUGGUCAAUAAAAAUUUUGGAUUGGGGAAUAACUCUGGUCCAAAAUUCCAGAAUGCUUUUAGCAGGCACUAUCCAAUCAGCUAAAUGGGAAAUGGUGUUCAUGUCAAGUAGGAGUCAUAUGCAUGCUAAAUGCGUCCUGUUGUCAGAAUGUAGAGGGUGAAUCAUUCUUUGCAUUGGUGGUUUAUUGAGUGUUUCAUAUAUGAUACUGUGUUUAAUAUAGAGGGGCAUUCAGUGAUAGUCUCAUCACCCCAAUGUACAAGCCUUUUGUGUAUAAGUGGAACGCUUGCCAAAGUAACUGACUGUUUCUGAAGUAAAUGAGAUUUUUAAUGACAUACCAAAUUUAAAUUAGAAGAUUGUGAAGUUCUUACUAUUUUGAAUAGGUAAAAUAGUUCCUUGUUGGACGAGUGGUUUACUCGCUCACCUACCGACUCGGUAGUCCCAAGUUCGAUUCCCUGCUCUGCCAAUGUGGAGUCAGAGAAAUUUGUUUCUGGUGAUUAGAAAUUAAUUUCUCAAUAUAAUGUGGUUCGGAUCCCACAGUAAGCUGUAGCUCCCGUUGCUAGGUAACCAGUUGGUUCCUAGCCACAUAAAAAUAUCUAAUCCUUUGGGCUAGCCCUACGAGAGCUGUUAAUCAGCUCAGUGGUCUGGUUAAACUAAGAUAUACUUGAACAGGUAAAAGAA